GUGCUGGGCGCCUGCAGUCCCAGCUACUCCGGAGGCUGAGGCAGGAGAAUGGCGUGAAUCCGGGAGGCGGAGCUUGCAGUGACCCGAGAUCGCGCCACUGAACUCCAGUCUGGGCGACAGAGCGAGACUCCAUCUCAAAAACAAAACAAAACAAAACAAAACAAAACAAAGAAAAACCUUUAAUAAGCUGUACGUGUUAUAGCCAUUAGCUAUUAUUAGUUUAAACUUCAUUCUUUUCUUUUACUCUCUUUCCUUUUUAUGUCUCAUACUUUCCUUGUCUUUGCUUUUCUAUAUCUUUCCCUUUCUCUUCUACAUUUUUCAUAUUUUUUUGUUUUUUUCUUUUUUCCCUCAAGACCUCAGCAAUUAGCAAUUUUAGCUCCACUCGGUGCCGCUUAGGUUCUGAUCCCUGAAUUUACGUAAAGUGCCACCAACCCCCACCAUGACCUUAACAAUGCUUACAUUUCCCCCAUUUGUUAAAACUUCUCUUCUGGGCAUUAAUGACCAUUCCUGACCUGGGGAGAGUUCUCCAACUUACACCCUGUCUCUGUUGUUGGACUUCUUAAAGAGCCUUUCUGUGUAAUAUUGUCAACUGAUUAACCUUUAGGCCUGAAAAAAAUGGGAAUAUCAAAGCAAUAAUAUUUUCCGCUGUUUUCCAGUGAAGGGUGCAUCAAUCAUAGAAAUGUCUUUGACUCCUGUUUGGUUACUGCACCAACAAUUGAGUAUAACUUUCUGAGUUAGAGGGAGAUAAUGGUUUCUUGGGGUAAUAAAAAUGUCAGAAGGAGGGAGACUUUCAUCUAACUCGAUAAAAAAUGUGAAGGCAUUGGGUGGCGGCACAAGGACAUUGAGGAGAUGGCAACAUCUGGAGAAUCUAGAGGCCUCAACAGCCUGGUAAUUUAUGGCCCUCAGAGAAAUGUACUCGGCCAGGAGCCUGGAAACCUGGAUUCCAUUCUCAUCCUUAUCACUGACUUCCAGAGUGACCUUGGGCAAGUUGCCUGACCUUUCUUUCCUUCUUUUAUUCAUCCUAUAGGCAAGGAUAAUAACAAUACUGGUAUUUAUCCAUUUGUUACCCAAAGAGAAUUUUUAUUUCUCUCUCUGUCUUUUUGGGUAGAUAAAUGAGGCACCCUUUUUGGAGCUGUUGCACAAAUUCAGGGUUUUAUUUUUAUCACAUAUAUAUUUUGUUUACAGGGAGCUUUAAUUUAUUUCAUUAGAAAUUUAUUUAGAUCUGAGAUGCAAGGAAGUUUAGUGUAAAGGCCAUGCCAAUUUUAAAGAGAAAUAAGGUGCAGCUCAGAGCAAUUGAUAUUUGCAGGAUCAAAACUUUAAAAUCCUAUGAAUUACACUAGUUUUCUCCUAUUUAAUCACAGACUCACAGGACAAAAGGGAAACUUUGCAAAUAAAAUUAGAGAACCUUGAAAACAUAACUAUCGUAGUUAAUUACUAGCAAGUGAGACAUAUUUAUCAUGGAAUAGUGGUGAAGUGUCUAUAGUUCACUUGGAUGUCACACAGCAAAGAGAGGUGGGGACAACAUUAGGGCUCAACUCAGUCCCCUCCUUCUCCAUGCAAACUUGCCAAGUCACAAUGACAUUACUUACCUCAGUACUCUAUUUACAAUUAUAGUAAUUUUUUGAAGUUAUUUUCUUUCAUUUAAGAGGAGUGAUUUCUAUGGUUGCACACUCAUUCAUUCAUUCAUUCAUUUAUUUCAUUCCACAAAUAUUAAGUGCCUAUGAGUUAUCAGUCAAUAUGAUGGCUUGGGAGAUACAGUGAUGGGUACAUCUAUGAGGCUUCUGCUUUCAUGGACUUUGGGAUUUGGAUGGGAGACAAAGGUCAAAAUAUUGCCAUGCAAAUGUCUGAUUGCAAUGGUACGAAGUACUAAGAAGAGAAAGCAUCAGGAGCUGUGCUAAUAAAAGUGGUGAGUAUCCUGUAAAUGAUUUCACCAGAUGUCCUUACAGCUCCCAACUCAUUUCUUUCAUCUUCCUUGACCCUAUUCCAUCUGCCCCACCAACAUCCCUCACUUGCAGUGGUGUGUAUUUUUUUUAAUUUUUUUAAAAUUAAAAAAUUUUUGUUUUGCUUUUUUUUAUUUUUAAUUGCAGUAAAAUAUACAUAAAAUCUACCAUCAUAAUCACUUUUUACAGUUCAGUAGUGUUAAGUAUAGUCACAUUGUUGAAACCGAUCUCCAGAACUUUUUCAUUUUGCAAAACUGAAACUCUGUAUUCAUUAAACAACUCUCCAUUUCCUCCUUUCCUCAUUCACUGACACCCAUCAUUCUUUCUGUCUCUAUGAACUUGACCACUUUAGGUAUCUCUCAUAAGUGGAAUUGUACAAUAUUUGUCUUUUUGUGACUGGCUUAUUUCACUUAGCAUAAUGUCUUCAAAGUUCAUCCAUGUUGUAGCAUGUGUCAGAAUUUUCUUUCUCUCUCUCUCUUUUUUUGCAGGUUUGUUACAUAGGUAUACAUGUGCCAUGGUGGUUUGCUGCACCCAUCAACCCAUCAUCUACAUCAGAGAACCUUGUCUUGGGCUAUUGGUAGCCUGUAGAUAAAUUACCCUUGGAUCAAGUGACCAUCCCUGUACAAUAAGAGUUGGCUGAGGAAGAGGAUAGACUGUGAGCAGGAAAGAUCCCCUAGAAAGGCAUGUAGGUAUAAAAGGAUCUUAAACUAAAUAUAUGUCUAUCAUAUAUAGGAUGGAUUUUUUUUUUCCCAUUUUUCUUUAACUUUUUAAUUGUGUUUAACUCUACCCUCUUUCUCUUCGUUUUUUCAGCCCCAGUAACACAAGUGUUAACUUUAUUGACAGUAUCACAGGUCCCUGAGGAUCUCUUUGGUCACUCUUUUUCAGUUUAUUUAAUUUCUGUGUUUCAGAUUUGGUUAUUUCUAUAUUUCUGUUUUCAAGUUCACUGAUUCUUUCUUCUGUCAUCUCCAUGCUGCUGUUGAAUUCAUCCACAAAGUUUUUUAUUUUGGUUAUUGUACACUUCAGUUCUAAAGAUUCCACUUGGUCUUUAUAUCUUUUUUUUGUUGUUGAGACUUU
rnacentral:lncRNA from 1 species